CAUGCUUCUUCCUUUGUUAAUUGUUCUUUCUUCUUCAGUUCUUCCUCUAAAAAAACUUCAAAUCUUCUUCCUCUUUAAAAACUCUUGCUUUGAAGUAUCUUUAUCCUUCUUCACCGCAAGAAUUUCUUAAGUAUGAAAACCAAUAAACACACAAUGAGAAAAAGAAGAAGAAGAAAGGGUUUAGAAGAUGAACUUAUCGAAAUGAUUUUCUAGAAAUGUAAACUUAUAUAUAACUUGAUUCACCUGGAGUUGUAUGGUUGGAAAAUAAAAUUUCUUUGAAAAUUUUCAGAGAAGAGUUUUUGUCGUAUGAUGAUUUUCAUAUUUUUUGUUUGUGUUUUGUGAAAUGGAAAGAAAAGUUUUAGAAAAUAUUUAUACAUAAAAGGAGUUAUCUGAUAUUUAGAGAUCGUGGGUUAGUUGGUGAUAUUUUGAUUUUUUAUUUUAUUUUUAAUAAAAC
rnacentral:lncRNA from 1 species